AUUGAACGCUGGCGGCAGGCCUAACACAUGCCAGUCGAACGGUAACAGGAAGACGCUUGCUUCUUUGCUGACGAGUGGCGGACGGGUGAAUAAUGUCUGGGAAACUGCCUGAUGGAGGGGGAUAACUACUGGAAACGGUAGCUAAUACCGCAUAACGUCGCAAGACCAAAGAGGGGGACCUUCGGGCCUCUUGCCAUCGGAUGUGCCCAGAUGGGAUUAGCUAGUAGGUGGGGUAACGGCUCACCUAGGCGACGAUCCCUAGCUGGUCUGAGAGGAUGACCAGCCACACUGGAACUGAGACACGGUCCAGACUCCUACGGGAGGCAGCAGUGGGGAAUAUUGCACAAUGGGCGCAAGCCUGAUGCAGCCAUGCCGCGUGUAUGAAGAAGGCCUUCGGGUUGUAAAGUACUUUCAGCGGGGAGGAAGGGAGUAAAGUUAAUACCUUUGCUCAUUGACGUUACCCGCAGAAGAAGCACCGGCUAACUCCGUG
rnacentral:rRNA from 1 species